CACACGCUGAAGUCCGUCUGACUAUUCCAGUCGCUACAGCUUCCAGCUUUAAUAACGAAACGUUAUGCUCACAAACCUUUAACACUCACAAAUGCUCGUACAUUUUAAAGUCGAGCUGUAAAGCUUCAAAGCUGAAUCUGAUCUCUGAUUGGUCUAUUCAGGAGAACUUCAGAAGGUUACUGAGAAAGCACAGGAGGCUAGCAGCACUCACCAGGGUACGGCUUAAGUUCAAGCUAAGGAGAGCUACAAACCAAAACGCAUCCCAUUCAGUUAGGAAGGUCCAGUCUGGACACUGCUGCACCUCUGUCCUGAGGAGGGAGAUGACUCUCUCGGCUUCUGGCUUGCCCCUGGCUAGCAGGAGAUGCCUGCAGCACUGUACGAGAGCACUCGAGUGUGGACAACACACAAAGUGCACAGAGAAGACUUUCAGCCCCCUUUGACUUGAACAACGCCCUCAAAGGAACAGAGGUCACCUUUUCUCCCAUAAGAGCCAGCUGGAUGCCAAAGAA